rnacentral:rRNA from 1 species
GAUGAACGCUGGCGGCGUGCCUAAUACAUGCAAGUCGAGCGAACAGACGAGGAGCUUGCUCCUCUGACGUUAGCGGCGGACGGGUGAGUUACACGUGGAUAACCUACCUAUAAGACUGGGAUAACUUCGGGAAACCGGAGCUAAUACCGGAUAACAUGUUGAACCGCAUGGUUCAACAGUGAAAGACGGUUUUGCUGUCACUUAUAGAUGGAUCCGCGCCGCAUUAGCUAGUUGGUAAGGUAACGGCUUACCAAGGCAACGAUGCGUAGCCGACCUGAGAGGGUGAUCGGCCACACUGGAACUGAGACACGGUCCAGACUCCUACGGGAGGCAGCAGUAGGGAAUCUUCCGCAAUGGGCGAAAGCCUGACGGAGCAACGCCGCGUGAGUGAAGAAGGUCUUCGGAUCGUAAAACUCUGUUAUUAGGGAAGAACAAAUGUGUAAGUAACUAUGCACGUCUUGACGGUACCUAAUCAGAAAGCCACGGCUAACUACGUG